rnacentral:lncRNA from 1 species
AACAAGCCAACACUUAUUCCUAAACCAAUUACUCAUCAUUUCCAUCAUAUAAACUCUGAUUAUUAUCUAUCCACUAUUAACUUUUAAUCACUAUUCAUGGGCCAAUGACUAACCAUUCUUCACUAACUAGUCAAUAUCUAGCAUCUAGUUAAGAUUCACCACUAGACCACAUUCGCUCAUUUAACACUAUAUAUUUCUAGCCAUCAUAAUUCCAC